rnacentral:tRNA from 2 species
CGCGGGGUGGAGCAGUCUGGUAGCUCGUCGGGCUCAUAACCCGGAGGUCGUAGGUUCAAAUCCUGCCCCCGCAA